CGGGGGCCCGCACAAGUAGCGGAGCAUGUGGCUUAAUUCGACGCAACGCGAAGAACCUUACCAAGGCUUGACAUAUACCGGAAAGCAUUAGAGAUAGUGCCCCCCUUGUGGUCGGUAUACAGGUGGUGCAUGGCUGUCGUCAGCUCGUGUCGUGAGAUGUUGGGUUAAGUCCCGCAACGAGCGCAACCCUUGUCCUGUGUUGCCAGCAUGCCCUUCGGGGUGAUGGGGACUCACAGGAGACCGCCGGGGUCAACUCGGAGGAAGGUGGGGACGACGUCAAGUCAUCAUGCCCCUUAUGUCUUGGGCUGCACACGUGCUACAAUGGCCGGUACAAUGAGCUGCGAAACCGUGAGGUAGAGCGAAUCUCAAAAAGCCGGUCUCAGUUCGGAUUGGGGUCUGCAACUCGACCCCAUGAAGUCGGAGUUGCUAGUAAUCGCAGAUCAGCAUUGCUGCGGUGAAUACGUUCCCGGGCCUUGUACACACCGCCCGUCACGUCACGAAAGUCGGUAACACCCGAAGCCGGUGGCCCAACCCCUUGUGGGAGGGAGCUGUCGAAGGUGGGACUGGCGAUUGGGGUGAAGUCGUAACAAGGUAACCGUAAGACCUGGUCUG
rnacentral:rRNA from 1 species